rnacentral:misc_RNA from 1 species
AUCUUUAAUUUAUCAUUUAAAUACAAAUAAAUAUUUAAGAGUGGGUUUUAAAUAUAAAGGGCAUCUUGCUCCUUUAUAUUUGGGAUGGUGUUACUGCUAGAAGACAUGAGGAGCUAUACCUAAUUAAAGGCAAGGGAAAACCCAGAACACAACAAACAACAACAAACAAACAAAAACAACGAAUUCUAACAGUAAACACUACCCAAAUAUAAUAAUGAUCCUUCCGCAGGUUCACCUACGGAAA